rnacentral:rRNA from 1 species
AUGCAGCUGGUAUCAGGUGGUCAUGCAGUCGUGGUUGUUAAUGGCUCGAUUAGCAAAUACUUCACCAAUGGUCGGGGCCUGCGGCAACGCAACCUGGUCUCACCUAUUUUGUUUAACUUUGUGGCUAAUGCCUUAUCUUGCAUGCUGGAUCGGGCGGCCUCAGCUGGGCAUAUCGCCCCUGUCAUUUCCCACCUCCUUCCCCUUGGUAUCACUCACCUACAAUAUGCGGACGACAAUUCUAGUUGA